GAUGAACGCUGGCGGCGUGCCUAAUACAUGCAAGUCGAGCGAACGGACGAGAAGCUUGCUUCUCUGAUGUUAGCGGCGGACGGGUGAGUAACACGUGGAUAACCUACCUAUAAGACUGGGAUAACUUCGGGAAACCGGAGCUAAUACCGGAUAAUAUUUUGAACCGCAUGGUUCAAAAGUGAAAGACGGUCUUGCUGUCACUUAUAGAUGGAUCCGCGCUGCAUUAGCUAGUUGGUAAGGUAACGGCUUACCAAGGCAACGAUGCAUAGCCGACCUGAGAGGGUGAGCGGCCACACUGGAACUGAGACACGGUCAAGACCCCUACGGGAGGCAGCAGUAGGGAAUCUUCCGCAAUGGGCGAAAGCCAGACGGAGCAACGCCGCGUGAGUGAUGAAGGUCUUCGGAUCGUAAAACUCUGUUAUUAGGGAAGAACAUAUGUGUAAGUAACUGUGCACAUCUUGACGGUACCUAAUCAGAAAGCCACGGCUAACUACGU
rnacentral:rRNA from 1 species